UACGAAGGGGACUAGCGUUGUUCGGAAUCACUGGGCGUAAAGCGCACGUAGGCGGAUAUGUCAGUCAGGGGUGAAAUCCCGGGGCUCAACCUCGGAACUGCCUUUGAUACAGCAUAUCUUGAGUCCGAUAGAGGUGGGUGGAAUUCCUAGUGUAGAGGUGAAAUUCGUAGAUAUUAGGAAGAACACCGGUGGCGAAGGCGGCCAUCUGGCUCGGUACUGACGCUCAGGCGCGAAAGCGUGGGGAGCAAACAGG
rnacentral:rRNA from 1 species